GAUGAACGCUAGCGGGAGGCUUAACACAUGCAAGCCGAGGGGUAUAGUUCUUUCGGGAACUAGAGACCGGCGCACGGGUGCGUAACGCGUAUGCAACUUGCCCUACUGAAAAGGAUAGCCCUUCGAAAGGAGGAUUAAUACUUUAUAACAGAUUUAAUGGCAUCAUUAGAUUUUGAAAGAUUUAUCGCAGUAGGAUAGGCAUGCGUAAGAUUAGUUAGUUGGUGAGGUAACGGCUCACCAAGACGAUGAUCUUUAGGGGGCCUGAGAGGGUGAACCCCCACACUGGUACUGAGACACGGACCAGACUCCUACGGGAGGCAGCAGUGAGGAAUAUUGGACAAUGGGUGGAAGCCUGAUCCAGCCAUCCCGCGUGUAGGAUGACGGCCUUAUGGGUUGUAAACUACUUUUAUCUGGGGAUAAACCUACUUACGGGUAAGUAGCUGAAGGUACCAGAAGAAUAAGCACCGGCUAACUCCGUG
rnacentral:rRNA from 1 species